UCUCUUUCUCCCUCUCAAAAGGAAAUAAACAUUAAAAAAAAAAGUGACUGACAUCGUUCUAACUUCCACAGAGUUUUGACCCUCAGAUUCUCACAGGACAGGGUCACACACUUCUAAGCUCCCUCUUGGAGUUCAGGGAAGGUCAAAGGGAAGAGUCUUAAACAGAAGACUCUAGCUCAGUGUAUCUAAUCUCCACACUCUAAAUAUUUACUCUGAGCCUCCUAGUCCUGUUUUGUCGUAUCCAACUGGAAUGACCCCCAUUUCUCUGCUCUUUCUCAUCCCUUCAAGCCCUGGCUGCAGUCUGAAAACUCAAAUUUAUUCAAAGGUACAAACUAACCAAGAGAUAUUCUGCUUUCAUUUUCCAUACUAUCCCUGAGGCAGAGUUGGAAAUAACAACGGGGCACGUGCGGCCCGGAGAGCGUGAAGUGACGCGUCUGAGACUCGCCCGCCUUCUGUGGCAGAACCGGAACUAGAAUUUCCGUCUCCUGACAUCAAGCCCACUGCCCUUUUGUAGCCGUCUGAGGGAAGGGCAGCCAGGAAAAUAAAUAUAAACGAAGAAGGUAGGAUAUGCUGGUCCACCUCGAGCUCCCCUCGACCCAUUCCAGACCUGAAGGUAAAGCAGUGGGAGAAACACUGGAUUGGACAGCUAAGGAGCUCUUGGCCUUGAUCUUGGCCUUGCCAUUCAACACUUGAUCUUCCUGACCUGGAAUAAGUAAUUUUCUCCCCUGGCUUCCUCUUGCUCAGCGGUCAAACAGGGAAAAUGUCAUUGACCUGGAUGGCAUGAUGUGUGAAACCACUCUACAAGCGAAUGAUUUAAGUAGCUUGAGUUAUCUCAAGUUCAUCGUGAUGAUUUCGGGCUGGUAGGGCAAGAAAUCAACGUCAACUCCCAUUUGGAGAGAGUCUUGGGGUUUCAAUUAUUCCCCCUCUGGUGUUUCCUGUUAAUUUACACAGAAUUUAUGUAAGUAGAAAGACUGCAUUGCCAUAGAGAUUCUUUUGUGGGGGGGGGGGGGGGUGGAAGGAGGAUCCAGUCAUGUUUCUUGGCCUUCUCAUAUUUGCCUUAUUUUUUCUAGUCUACUCGGAAAGCUAGCUCCUUAAUCUCUUCUCGCUAUUCGAACGAUGACUGGGAUACGGACCGACAUGGACAUGGAAAGGAUAACAUGGAAAGUUACCGAAGGAAAGGAUUACAGUAAAUAGGUGAUGCUGGCCAAUGGACCAUGAAUAUGCUGGAAUGUCUGUUUUUCUAGAACUUGGCAAAACUGUGCAAUUCCCGUCUCUACCUGCGCUACUCUCAUCCACCCAUGCAGGCACAGGCCACUUCUAUUCCUUCACAAGGGCGGAGGAGACUGGGCUUGGGCCGUGUGACUUGCAUGGCCAUCAGCAAACAUGGUGCGGAGACUUGAUGGGUGAUGUACAAAAGUGAGCCCUUCCUCCUUGGAACCCAGCUGCCAUGCUUUAAGAAAGCCAGUCUAACCGGCUAGCAGAUGAGCAACUCCGCACUCUCGCUGACCAACGCCAACUUCCGGAAGUGUGAAUGAAACCGUCUUGGAUGUUUCUAUUUCGGCCCUAGUAGAGCUCCCAUCUGUUUGCAGCGGCUGAACGAGCGACCCAGGUGAAUGAAUGACCUUGGUCAAUAUCGCCCGGAGGAGGGAAACCACCCAGCCGAGCGCAGAUAGUACACAGAAUCGUGGCACAUAAUAAAUGG